rfam:Limnohabitans sp. 103DPR2, complete genome.
GACGGGCCUUCCCGCAUGGUUAAGCGGCCAACCGAGUCAGGUGGGGAACCAAGCAGCUCUAACUGCGGCGCCAGUGCCGGGGUCAAGGCUCGUCACC